rnacentral:lncRNA from 1 species
CAAAAACUGAAACUGUUUAACUGAAAGUACUGUCAAAUAUUUUCAUGUAAAAUGAAAAUGUAGACUUUUUAUGACUUGCAGGGCUCUUAGGGGAUCUAUUUAAUGAAUUGUCUCAUUUUACCAGCAAUAAAACUAUCGAGGAGAAAGAUCAAGUCAAGCUCACCAGCCUCUGAGUAGCAAACCUCAGACUUGGUUUCCUUAUCUUCUGCUCCACUGCCAGGAAGGAAGAAAGGAAGGAAAGAAAGAAAGAAAGACACCCCCACACAUACAUGAGCAAAUGUUUUCCACAAGGAUGCAAAGAAAAUCUAAUAGAGAAAGAAAGGAUAGUCUUUUCAAAAACAAUGCUGGAGCAACUGGAUAUCCACAUGCAAAAAAGAAACUUGAAUCUGCCCCUUAAUAUAUCUAUUUAUUUUGCCACAUGCAAAAAUUAACUUAAAAUGAAUCAUUGACUUAACUGAAAAUAAAAUGACAAAACUUCUUUUUAAAAUAGGAGAAUAACUUUUGUGACCUUAUGAUAGGCAGAUUUUUCAGAUAUAACAAAAAUAAUCUACGAAAGAACAAACUGACAAAUUGGACCUUAUCAAAAUUAAAUGUACUGUUCUUCAAAAGAUACUGCUAAUAGAAUAAGAAAAUAAGCCACAGGAUGGAAGAAUAUAUUUCCAAAUGAUUUCUAUAAUUUUUUAAAAAACUAGUAUCCAGAAUACAUAAUGAUUCAAAAUAAAUUGAAUCACUGUAUUCAAAAGAAAUAACCCAAUGUUUUAAAGGACAAAAGAUUUGAACAGACACUUCAGCAAAAAAGAUAAUGAGUGGCAAAUAAACACAUGAAAAGAGUCUCAACAUCAUUAGUCAUUAUGGAAAUGGAAAUUGGAACCACAAUGAGAUGCCCCUUCAUACCUGGGUAAAUGGAUAAAAUUUUAAAUAUCAAUAAACAAACAAAUAAGUAGAAAUUGACCAUACCAAGCAUUGGUAAAGAUAUAGGAGAACUGGAACUCUCAUACACUUGAUGGCAGAAUUAUAAAAUAGUAUAACCCAUGGUCAUUGGAGGAAACAGCAUAGAUGUUAAUCAACAAAUUAAAAAUAAAACAACCAUAUGAUCCAGCAAUCCUACUUCUGGGUAUUUAUCCAAAGGAAAUGAAAUCAGUAAGUCAGUGAGAUAUCUGUACUUCUAUGUUCAUUGCAGAUUAUUCACAAUUUCAAGACAUGGAAUCCACCUAAGUGUCUAUUAAUGGGAAUAAAUAAAAUGUAGUAUAUAUACACAAUGGAAUAGUAUUCAGCCAUUCAGCCAUAAAAAAUGAAAUCUAAUCAUUUGUGACAACAUAGAUAA